AUACGGAGGAUUCGAGCGUUAUCCGGAUUUAUUGGGUUUAAAGGGAGCGUAGGCGGACUAUUAAGUCAGCUGUGAAAGUUUGCGGCUCAACCGUAAAAUUGCAGUUGAUACUGGUCGUCUUGAGUGCAGUAGAGGUAGGCGGAAUUCGUGGUGUAGCGGUGAAAUGCUUAGAUAUCACGAAGAACUCCGAUUGCGAAGGCAGCUUACUGGACUGUAACUGACGCUGAUGCUCGAAAGUGUGGGUAUCAAACAGGAUUAGAUACCCUGGUAGUCCACACAGUAAACGAUGAAUACUCGCUGUUUGCGAUAUACAGCAAGCGGCCAAGCGAAAGCAUUAAGUAUUCCACCUGGGGAGUACGCCGGCAACGGUGAAACUCAAAUGAAUUGACGGGG
rnacentral:rRNA from 1 species